CUCUCUCUCGAAAGUAAAUUUUUUUUUAAAAAUUAAAAAGUGAAAAAAAAAAAAAAAAGAAAGGAGCCAGACAGGAAAGCACAUGCGGAGUGUGGCUCCAUUUAUGUAAAAUUCUGGAACAUUCUGGAACAGACAAACUCACUGUGUUGAUCAAGCUCAGGCCAGAGGCAGCCUGUGCAGAGGUAGGGGAUCUGGGAAUGGACAAGAGAACUUUCUGGAAUAUGAACAUGUCUCUUCUCUUCCCUCCGAGCCUUCUGUUCAAGUCAAACAUGAUUUUUCAUCCCCGUGUCUCCAGGCUCCGUCUUGGCUCAUGUGGUUCCCGUUCCCUGGAAACCCUCCUUAGCAAAUCUCCACCCCCGGGAGCUAAUUGACACGCCACCUUCUCCGGGAAGCCCUCCCUGCUGCACCCCUCCCUAGCGGCCGCUACCCUGCCCUUCUGGUCCUGAUCCUACAGCUUUUCCGCUGUCGUUCCUUUGACGUGAUCACCUGAGUUUUUCAUUAACGGUCAUCCUGUCCCUGCUUCGAUUCCCUUGCUAUGUUGUGACCUUGAUGGCAGCCGCGUCUGUGUGGGUCCCGGCCACCCCAACCCCAGCAAGAGGCCCGGAGUAGGUGCUCGAUUCGGACACGGGGCAACGAAGGAGCGGAGCGAACGAAGUGUGAAACUCCUCUUUGUUCACGUCAGGCUCUGCACUGAAUUGUGCUGACUCCUGUCACUUUUCCGCCACGCAAGAUGCAAGCCAUGCCGACGUUUUCCGGAGCACUCUCGGGGGGCCCCCGCGGGGGGUGGGGGGGGUCUGGGCUGCCAGCUUCUCACCCGGUAAUUAAAUGACACAGCACAAACCUGUAGAAACACAGCCUUCCCGCGGUCACCGCAUUGAAUCAGACCCGAAAGCUCACAAGACCUUCAGAACCUUUGUUCUAAAGGGUUUCGUGGCCACGGAUGGGGAAACUGAGGUUGGGAGCAGGACAGCGGUGCGUUCAAGGAAGGGGGAGCUCCUGAUCUGUCAUGCUUCCGUCGGGGGGGGGGAGCGAGCUUCCCCCCCACCCUCAGGACGAGAUACGGCUGGAGGGACAUUUCCAUCAUCUCUCCGGCCCCUUCUCCCAGAAGAGGGAGAAAACUCAGCUUGUGUCUGUUCUCACCCGCACCCUCAAUGGGGGCAGGAGGCGACGCCGUGGAUAGCCAGCCCGCCUGCCACCCACCCCGCAAGCCCCCACAAGCGACAGAGGACCUCCAGAUACGGGGCUGGUAAGCACUGGAGAGCCUGCCCCCUCCCCCGUCCCACCGGGACCACCGGACACGCCGGCGAAGCCAGGGACGGCGAAGCCAGGGACGGACGCGGGUGGCUCCAGAGGCCCAGUCCCGGCUUUCUCAGAUCUGGGCGGGAUUCUGUGCCAGUGAGCGUGAACAACCCGGAUGGCUUGUCCUGGGGUUGGGACGCUCGGGGCUCAAACGGGGACAGUCUCAGGAAAGCCCGGGUGGUCUGUCACCCUAACUUCUAGCUCAGCAUCCACAGAGCUGGGCGGCCGGGGGGGCCUUUGCUACCAGAGUCCUGCCAGGUUCGCGGGUGGUCAGCACUUGGAGGUGGUGGCCACCGGGGGUCGGCCCCGGGUCCCACACGCCGGGACGGCAACUCCUGGUCACCCUUCCCCUCCUGAUGCUGAGACGGACGAGUCCUCCGGGUGGUUCCCAGCUCACGGCCGGAGCUCCGUGCAAAAAGCUCCUGUUUUCUCGCAGCUGAGUAAGACUAUCGCAGGCAGAGCUCGAAUCCUCUCCAGGUUUUAUUGGGUUUAAAAAUGACACCAUUUGCAAAAUGCUGGUCGUCUGUGUGAGCGACACACGCAUGCCGGGAUAUGGAGAUGACGGCUGGAGCGUCGCCUCGGGUGUCGCGGGUGAGAGAACACGGGUUGUGCGGAGGGAUUGGCCGUGACCCUGAGCGGGCGAGAGACCCCGCCACGACGGUCUGUAGACCGUGGUGCCCACACCAGCAACAGUAACGAGCUGCGGACGCAACCGGCCGCCUGCCUCCCUCCCUGGCUCCUGGCGGGAAGGGGUGGAUCUUCCCAGGGUCUCCCAGAGGCAGGCGCCGACGAUGCAGGUGUCCCGGCCGCUGGUCCCGCGUGGCCACUGCCAUGGCCCAGGCUCACAAGAGGCUUCGGAACCUUGCACGCCGCAGGGAGAGGUCGGAAGGGACACUGGGUCAUAGAGCCCAAGCUUGGGUCUUAGCAUCAGCCCCCCCGGACCUCGUCCCCCCGCCCUCCCCCACGCCCCUCGGAUCCGGUGCGCCGAGGUCACCGUGUUGCCGCCUACCCUGUGGUGACCGUGACAGGCGGGGACGGGCAGCGGACGCCUGGAGCCACGGGGUGAAAUGACAUCGAGAAACGGGGUCUUCCGCGCCAUUUCCAAGCAUCAUCCCACUGCUACUGUGUUGUCCUUCUGAUAAUGUGAAACGUGUAGAAGUUGUUUCUAUUUCGCGGUCAUGGUCACCGUGGGAACCGCCGUCCACGCACUGCGCCGGCCGCUGGUCCUCCAGCGGCUCUUCUCGGCGUCCAGGUGGCGCCCGACCUCACUCAGCCCGCACGACGAUGCCCGGCCACCGAGGCCGAUACGGGACAUCAAGAUACCUGGCGGCAGCCACACACGCACGUCCCACGUGGCACACCGUGGACUGUCGAGUGGCAGGGCUUGGUGGGUAACGUCCGGUGGGUCCUCUCCCCAGACAGAAUGUCCUGGAAGGCACUCGAGUCCGCUUGGGACGCCGUGGCAGAGCCCUCGGGCCGCGGCUUGGACCACAGACACUUUCCCACGUUGCGGAGGCCAGAGGCCCGCGAUCAGGGAGGCUGCGGGUCCGGUUCCUCCUGAGGCCUCCUCCCCGUGUGCCGUGUUCCCGUCCAUCCGUCCGUCUGUGUCCUCGUUCCCUCUCCCUGUGAGGACAUCAGCCACGGGCUAGGGCUCAUCCGUAUGACCUCUCUGAGCCCAUUAUGUAAGGAAAGGGCCUGUCUCCAAACACGGUCCUCCUCUGCUGGGACCAGCCCCUCCGGACUCCGGGGACGUGGACACUGCUUCUCCCACUGCCGCCCCCCUGAGCUGAAGGUUCCAUGUGCUCGAUGAUGCGUCCUUCUGUCUGUCCUCCUUCCUGCUUCCUGGGACCGAAGCCCCCCGUACAUCAUGUCCCAUAGGCCUGUGUUUCCUGUGCUUCCGGCAAAGACCACAUUUAUACCUAAAGUUGUCACCUGGGGGCACCUGGGGGUCUCCACCUGAGCAGUGACUGUGAGCUGCUCCUCCUCCCCUCCCCCACCUCGUCUCUCAGCCCUGUCCCCGUCCCACCACCGUAUGGCUGCUGACACUUGUAGCCACAGCGUGUGGCCUACCUUGGAGGUGAGGAGACCUGCUUGCUCCCCGUCCCCCGCUACGCUCCCUGCCCCGCGGAGAGGAUCCGACCUCGGGAUCAAUCCCGCGUGGCCGUCGCCUGUGACACCUGCUGUAUGCACGGCGGCCAUGGUUCUCCCAUGCUUCAGGCUCGGCCGCCGGAAGAAUAGAAACGUGGCUUCCCCGUCCACUUUGUCGUGGCCACUCUCACAAGCCAUGCCUCCAGCCGAACCCGUGGAACUCACACUCAAUCUCGGAGUUACCAUCAUGUAAACAGAGUCGUCUCCUGCCCGUGUCUGCGGUGACAGCUUAGCAGGGAAUAAAACCCUUCCCCGGCGAUGCUGGGGACGCGCGUGACAUCAGCAGACGUCCUGCGGUGGGACUGCCCCCACCCCCCACCGUGGACAGCAUGACCUCCCCUCCCCCGCUACUCACGGGCUCGCUCUGGGCCAUCGGGUAUGAGCAGGAGAGCUGCGAGCCGCUGCGUGUCCCCCGUUCUCUCGCUCCUGCAUCCCUCCCGCGGGAGGGGGACGGAGCCGUGGACGAGGCCCCCACAGGCCCAGAGCUGCACAGCCAAACAUCACCGUGGAAGCUCCAGAGGUCUGGUCAUCUCGGGAGGACAAAUGGCCUGGGCCCGUGGGGUUCUGUGAGCACGGAGCUGACUUUUCCUUUAGCGGAGAUUUGGCGCUUUUGGCCUGAAUUCCCUCCAGGUAACUUUUCUUUCAUCUGUAACGAGUGCGUUCCUCUAACGUGCCUUUCCAAGCCUUUGUUUUAGGCAAGUUUUCCUCUGUGGACGUGGACGGUAUUUUCAUUAUUAAACGUCCCUGAAGAAACAAAUAAAGAGCAAACAACAAGAAAAUCAGCUGUGUCAUAAUAAAAGGCAUAUCUCCUUGCGUCUUUUACCUACUA